GCACACAGCCAUGUCACCCUGCAGCCCAAGACCGGUUACUCACUGAAGCUAAGCUGGGCUGAGCCUGGUCAGUACCUGGAUGGGAGACCACUAGGGAACACUAGGUUGCUGUUGGAA
rfam:Danio rerio chromosome 20, GRCz11 reference primary assembly.